rnacentral:lncRNA from 1 species
CUGCCUUGCCCCCUGCCUGCAAAGGGCAUUGUGACACACCUCUGUGAACAUCACAAAGGUGAUGUGACUCUCUUCCAAAAUGGGAUUGUGGCCAGGUGCAGUGGCUCAUGCCUGUAAUCCCAGCACUUUGGGAGGCUGAGUCGAGGGGAUCAUCUGAGGUCAGGAGUUCGAGGCCAGCCUGGCCAACAUGGUGAAAUCCCGUCUCUAUUAAAAAUACAAAAAUUAGCCAGGUGUGGUGGUGCACACUUGUAAUCCCAGCUACUUGGGAGGCUGAGGCAGGAGAAUCACUUGAACCCUUGAGGCAGAGGUUGCAGUGAGCUGAGAUCACGCCAUUGCACUCCAGCCUGGGCAACGAGAGUGAAACUCUGUCUCAAAAAACAAAAAACAAAAAAAGCUCCAAAAAACCAAAAUGAGAUUGUGACAUAUCACUGGACCGAGCACCUUGGUGAUGUGACUAUCCUCUCUUGCUUGAGUUUCACAUAUUAUUGUUACUGUGACAUACCUCUGUGACAAACAGCUAUGGGAAAGAUUGUGGCAUAUUACUGAACUAAGCAACCUAGUGACGUGUCUCUUCUGACUGGGGCUUGCCCACAGAGACAACUGUGACAUAGCACUGAGCCCAGGACCCAGGUGAUGUGACUCUGCUGCCUGUUUCCAACAUUCAUGAGAGGAUGGUAACUAUCCCUUGCCAAGAACUCAGGUGAUUUGACUGUCCUGCCUUGUUGCUGCCCUCAGAGAAGAUUGUGAUAUAUCUUCAGCCCCAAACCCAGACUUUCCUGCAGGAGUGAUGCUGACAUGUUCCUCUAUUUGGCAUCUGAGUGAUAUGACUCUUGCCAUGGUCUAGCCCACAGAUGGAAUUGUGAUGUGUUGCUGUACCCAGCACCUAGUUUUUGCCCACAGGGGAGAUUGUGACAUAUCACUGGGCCUCAAACUAAGGUGAAGUUACACUUUCAUUUUCGAACUGUACUCAGAAGGCAUCGUGACAUAUUCCUGGGCCCAGCACCAAGGUGAUGUGAGUCUCCUGCCUGCACUUUGCCCACAAAUGGCAUUGUAACAUAUCUUUAGACCUAUCAACUACUUGAUAUGACUUAUUUUUUUAAAGUGAAAGCAAGUUUAUUAGAGAAGUAAAUAAACAAAAGAAUGGCUACUCCAUAGACAGAGAAGACCUCAGGGCUGCUCAUUGGCUCUUUUCAUGGUUA